rnacentral:rRNA from 1 species
GUGGGGAAUAUUCCGCAAUGGACGAAAGUCUGACGGAGCAACGCCGCGUGAGUGAUGAAGGUUUUCGGACUGUAAAGCUCUGUUGUUUGGGACGAAAGUGCCUGUUGCGAACAGUUACGGGUAUUGACGGUACUAAACGAGGAAGCCACGGCUAACUACGUGCCAGCAGCCGCGGUAAUACGUAGGUGGCAAGCGUUGUCCGGAAUUAUUGGGCGUAAAGAGCAUGUAGGCGGGAAUCUAAGUCUGUUGUUAAAAUGCGGGGCUCAACCCCGUAUUGCGAUGGAAACUGGGUUUCUUGAGUGCAGGAGAGGAAAGGGGAAUUCCCAGUGUAGCGGUGAAAUGCGUAGAUAUUGGGAGGAACACCAGUGGCGAAGGCGGCUUCCUGGCACAAUACUGACGCUCAUGUGCGAAAGCUAGGGGAGCGAACGGGAUUAGAAACCCUAGUAGUCC